AUUGAACGCUGGCGGCAUGCCUUACACAUGCAAGUCGAACGGCAGCACGGGAGCAAUCCUGGUGGCGAGUGGCGAACGGGUGAGUAAUAUAUCGGAACGUGCCCAGUCGUGGGGGAUAACGCAGCGAAAGCUGUGCUAAUACCGCAUACGAUCUACGGAUGAAAGCGGGGGAUCGCAAGACCUCGCGCGAUUGGCGCGGCCGACAUCAGAGUAGCUAGUUGGUGGGGUAAAAGCCCACCAAGGCGACGAUCUGUAGCUGGUCUGAGAGGACGACCAGCCACACUGGAACUGAGACACGGUCCAGACUCCUACGGGAGGCAGCAGUGGGGAAUUUUGGACAAUGGGCGCAAGCCUGAUCCAGCAAUGCCGCGUGCAGGAUGAAGGCCUUCGGGUUGUAAACUGCUUUUGUACGGAACGAAACGGCCCUUUCUAAUACAGGGGGCUAAUGACGGUACCGUAAGAAUAAGCACCGGCUAACUACGUGCCAGCAGCCGCCGCUGUAA
rnacentral:rRNA from 1 species